CCUACGGGAGGCAGCAGUGAGGAAUAUUGGUCAAUGGGCGCGAGCCUGAACCAGCCAAGCCGCGUGAAGGAAGAAGGCCUUACGGGUUGUAAACUCCUUCUGUAAGGGAAAAAAGGGAGGCACGUGUGCCUGUUUCUAUGUACUUUAAGAAGACGGAUCGGAUAACUCUGCGCCAGCAGCCGCGGUAAUACGGAGGGUCCGAGCGUUAUCCGGAUUUAUUGGGUUUAAAGGGAGCGGAGAGGGUGGGUUAAGUCAGAUGUGAAAGCUUGCGGCUCAACCGUAAGAUUGCAAUUGAUACUGGCAGUCUGGAGUACAGUUGAGGUAGGCGGAAUUCGUGGUGUAGCGGUGAAAUGCGUAGAUAUCACGAGGAACUCCGAUGGCGAAGGCAGCUUACUGAACUGCCACUGACGUUGAGGCUCGAAAGUGUGGGUAGCAAACAGGAUUAGAUACCCUUGUAGUC
rnacentral:rRNA from 1 species